ensembl:lncRNA PROX1-AS1 PROX1 antisense RNA 1
CUCUCUCUCUCUCUCUCUCUCUCUAUCUCUCUCUCUCUCUUUUUUUUCCCCCGGCAGAGAGAGGAAAACACGCGAGUGCACACACGGUGAUAUCUUGCGGGUGAUGAAUAUGAUAAUUGGACAAGGGACGCUGGAGGCAAAGGAUGCCAAGAUGGGAAAGCCACAUAAUGGAAGGAUCCUGGAUUUCAGAGCUGUCACUUGGAGGAGGGGCACCCAGUGAAGGUGUCUUAUCUAACCCACACCAUAUCUUCAUGAAGUGGCCAUAUGGAUUUGAUCCCUAUCCUUCAGAGGUGCUCAGCCUAAGGGAACACGGAUAGUAGAUUAAGCACUGACCAGAUAUAUAGAAGCACUUAGGAACUUUGUUCUACUAUUCUGCACUGAAGGAACUUUCAGAACUUUCCAGUGCUUCAGGUUGGGGUCCGAGCCAGCCUUGACAAUGUGCUGAUGGCAACCUAGAACAUAAGCAGAGGAGUAUACAGGACAAGAACUUGAUGGUCUCGGGAA